rnacentral:snRNA from 1 species
GGAUGUGAGGGUGAUCAGGCUGCGACGUCUGUCACCCCAUUGAUCGCCAGGGUUGAUUCAGCUGAUUUGGCUGACUAGGCGGGUGUUCCCUUCCUCCCUCACCGCUCCAUGUGCAUCCCUCCUGAAGCUGCAUGCUUGGUGGAAGUGGACAACCAUCCCAGAUAGAAGGUCAAGGGUAUACGAUAGCUGCGCUCCUCUGCUAGAACUGCCAAACAAGCUCAAGAUGGAAAAUGCUGUAUGGUGGUUUGGCUGAAUUGCUGGCUAAUAAGUUGUAUCAUCUCAUU